rnacentral:rRNA from 1 species
AACGAACGCUGGCGGCAGGCUUAACACAUGCAAGUCGAACGCCCCGCAAGGGGAGUGGCAGACGGGUGAGUAACGCGUGGGAAUCUACCUAGUUCUACGGAACAACUGAGGGAAACUUCAGCUAAUACCGUAUACGCCCUACGGGGGAAAGAUUUAUCGGAAUUAGAUGAGCCCGCGUAAGAUUAGCUAGUUGGUGGGGUAAUGGCCUACCAAGGCGACGAUCUUUAGCUGGUCUGAGAGGAUGAUCAGCCACACUGGGACUGAGACACGGCCCAGACUCCUACGGGAGGCAGCAGUGGGGAAUAUUGGACAAUGGGCGCAAGCCUGAUCCAGCCGUGCCGCGUGAGUGAUGAAGGCCUUAGGGUUGUAAAGCUCUUUCAGUGGGGAAGAUAAUGACGGUACCCACAGAAGAAGCCCCGGCUAACUUCGUGCCAGCCGCCGCCGUAACAC